rnacentral:rRNA from 1 species
CCAGCAGCCGCGGUAACUCCAGCUCCAUUAGCGUAUAUUAAAGUUGCUGCAGUUAAAAAGCUCGUAGUUGGAUCUCGGUACCACUGUUACUCGCCAGUACUCGGUAGUGUGUUGUGCGCACUGGCCACGCGCUAGUGUUGUCAUGGCCGCUGCUUGAGCUGACGAUGUGGCGGUGUCACCUUUCAGCCAUGUCUGUGGUGAAAUACCCUCAGGUGUAGGCGAGUGUCGGAUGGUGCCCAGCGCAAGUUGGACUCGUCGGCUCGCCUGCAUGCCUCUGGAUGCCCUUCAAAAGGUGUCCGUGGGCGGAUGGCACGUUUACUUUGAACAAAUUUGAGUGCUCAAACCAGGCCGAUGUUGCCUGAAAAGUUUUGCAUGGAAUAAUGGAAUAGGACUUCGGUUCUAUUUCGUUGGUUUUCGGAUCCGAAGUAAUGAUCAAAAGAGACAGGCGGGGG